UCAUUUGUAUCUCGCUCAACCUUUUUACUUGUUUUAUUUAUCUGCAAUUGGUAGUAUAAUUAAUCACAACACAAAAACCAAAGGCUUUUGUCUAAUUGAAACAAUCUAUAAACUCUGUGUCGUCAAGCAGUCCUUGAGAUCGACAAACGGGGAAUUUCCCUUUUAUUUCUACAGUGAGAAAAAUAGUACACUUGCUAUUUUCCCAUCACCUUCCAUGAAAAGGUACGUAGGCAACGGGUUCAUCCGUUCAAACACAAAAACAAUAAUAACUU
rnacentral:lncRNA from 1 species